rnacentral:lncRNA from 1 species
UGGGCUCAAUCAAUCCUCCCUCCUCAGCCUCCAGAGUAGCUGGGACCACAGGCAUGCGCCACCGUGCCUAGUUAAUUAUAAAACUUUUUUUAGAGAUGGAGUUUUGCUGUGUUUCCUAGGCUGGUCUCAAAUUCCUGUGCUCAAGUGAUAUGCCCACCUCAGGCUCCCAAAGUGCUGGGAUGACAGGCGCGAGCCACUGCACCUGGCCAAAAUAAAGCUUGACCUGAGUUGAUAUGAGGGUGAUGAGACUGAGUAAAAAGCCCAUAGGAUUCCAGCCUGUGUUCAUAAGAAGAAGCAUUUUAAUGGAGAGACUUUUUGUGAUGCGUGUACAGAGGACAUUAUUAGUGAAAUAACAGCAAACUUGCUAUUAAUGAGAUCUGCUCAAAAUCUCUAUGAGGUAGUGAAUGCCCCAUCAUGAAGAUUUUCAUGCAGAAUUGGGAUGACCUCUGUUCUUCAGCCUGCCAGGGGAGCGAGGUGUUAAAUCUCAUGAGAUUCUUUUACCAAGUCCAAGUUUUAAAUAAAUGAAACUUGUACAGACUCCAACAUACCAUCUUGAGAUAACCUCAGGCCCUGAAGUGUAUCGACAAGCAGAAUGAUCUCAGCCAAGUUGUAAAACUGUCUUUGAAAAGAAUAGCUGGAUGAAAAACAUUAGCAGCAACUGAAUCAAGAGAAAACGUGACUUCAAACUGAAAGGCACUCUCAUGCUGAUAGGAAGACAACUCUGUUAUCUUUAGGAUUUCAGAUGCUUUUAGAAUCAAACCUGGAAAGGAUACAAAAAGCAGAAGCAAAACCAACAUUUGGGAGAAGAACAGAUUAAGACAGUAGCUUAUAUUGAAACAUCACUUCUCAUUUGCUGUUUGGACAAUGGUGAUGGAACUGCUGCUUUAUUGCCCACGGAGAAGCGAAGUGAAGAGUCUAAAGUGGGUCUUGCAGUUACACUGGACAAAAGAAGUUUGAAACUGAGGCUUGGUCCUGAAGAAAACAUAGAGAAGCCUGACAGAUUAUAUAUAUUCACAGCUUUGACUUAAAGGUUGCUGGUUGACCAAUAAGUAAUACAAGAAGAAAUGGUCUUUUCUGGAAUUGUCCUUCUUUCCAGGUAUCAAUGGUGAGCAGAAGAGGAGCAGGGAAUGAUGAAAGACCACACAUUCUCCAAAAGUCACUAAGCACUGUCUGCAGAUGGAACAUUCAUAUUUUCACAUAGUAUAAGUCAUAUGAUCUUUGAUCCUCCAUGUAUUGCUAUCCAGCCAUUUACUUUAGAAUGUCAGCCUUUAUACUGAUAUCACACACAUGUUGUAAAAUGUAGUGAAGAUAAACGGGUGAAGUUAAACUUACAAUGCUUUUGCUGUUAUCCAUAAAAAUGCAAUAGGUAUUGCAUAGAAUUAGUUACAAGCACAAAACUGUGAUACCCUAUAUGCCCCUGUUACAAGAAAGUUGUCAUUUUACAUUAUGGGUAUUUAUUCGAUAUUUUCAUAGUUUAAUUACUAACAAAGCAUUAAUAAUGCCAGAUUGUGCUGACAAACAUUGCAGUCUCUGAAUAGGAGAAAGAAUAUAUUCUUUGCACCAUUAUACAAUGAUUUAGAACUUUAAUAGUGUGCUGGGGAAAAAACAUGUAUCUGUAACCUGAAAUAGUUGUUUUACCUCCCUGAGUACAAAAUAUGUCACACAUUCUCUCCUAAAUGUAUUCUCUAUUUUUACCAGUCAUUUUGUUGCUAAAAUGUAAGAUAUGGGGAUGGGAUGUGGGUGAUUGUCUCCGUCCUUUUGGGCUUCUAUAACUAAAAUACCUUAGACUGGGUAAUUUAUAAACAACAGGAAUUUAUUUCUCACAGUUCUGGGGGCUGGAAAGUCCAAGAUCAAGGCUGUGGUGGGGUUUGGCUGGCGAGGGCUCCAUCCUUCUUGCUAUAUCUUCACAUGGUGGAAGGAGCAAACAAACUCCCCCAGCCCUCUUUUACAAGGGCACUAAUAUUAUUUGUGAGGGCUCCACUCUCAUGACUUAAUCACCUCCCCAAAGACCCUACUUCUUAAUACUAACACAUUGGGGAUUAAUCUUCAACAUAUGAAUUUUGGAGGAACACAAACAUUCAGACCAUAGCAAUGUUUAUUGGGGUGAAUGCUCAUUUAACUUUUCCCAGAACAAUCCCUGUUAAGUCUGCUAACCUCCUGUAGUUAAUGAUAAAAUUUCCUUCAUUUUCCGAAGUGUUCUUGUUUGGAUUAUAAAUUAUGUAAUUACCCUAAUGACAAUUAACUAGACAUUUUUUUUCUUACUGUAUAGCACCAGUAUGGGCAAUUGCAGUGGCUUUCAAACUUGACUACAACUCAGGGAGAAAUACAUUUUUCAUCAUAACGUAGUACACACACACACACACACACACACACACACACACGCACACACACACACACAUACACUAGAUAAAGCAAAAGCUUUAGGAAAUGGUACUUGGAUAUUUUCAAAUAUAUUUUAGUCUGUUUUUUAAUUAAAAAUCUCUAGUCAUGAUACAUUAAAUUGACUUAUUGACCCACAGCUUGAAAAAACACCAAUAUUUUGGAUGUGUUUUAAGGUCAUAGAACACGCCUUCUGAUUUUUUUCCUUCCCUAGGUAAUCCUAUGCAAGUUGCCAAUCUUCUCUAAACAACACUCUUCUUCAUCUAUAAAGUAAAUAUUAAUACCUACCUGAAGGUGGCAGAGAGAGUUAACUGAGAUAAUUUGGUUAAUGAGCCUGAAAUCUAGUCAACACUUACUAAAGGUAAUUUCUUCUCCUCUCUUCCGCUUCUAAACCAACAGGACACAGCUGAAGUUCACAGGUUUGUAAAAGUGAAAAAAUAUUUUUCUUAACCCCCUGACCUCUAAAGUUUGGUCAGAGUGUUUAGCCACUGAUAAAACAUCUUUAAGCACUGUUACUUCUAUGUUCAACUAAAAGAGUCACUUUUCAGUAAUUUCCGGUCAAGCCCAUCACAAUAGCACUUGCAGCUUCUCAAAAGAAAAGAAAGAAAGAGAGAGAAAGAAAGGAAGAAAGAGAAUUGAAGGAGGAAAGAAGGAAAAAAAUCAUGAUGAAGAUUUUAAAACAUGUCUUAUUGAGGGAUGGGAUGGUGAGGAAGUUGAUUAUAGUGAUGGAUGUGACAGACAGGGCCCGUACUUCUGUUUCUGUUCUCAAACUAACAGUUUUCACACAUAACCGUUUUCACACAUAACACAUUAGUAGAAUUUCUUUUGAAUAUUUGCCUUGGAAAUAAAACAAUAAUAAUAUAGCAUUUAUUAUAUUUAUUAUAUAUAGAGUGUGUGUGUGUGUGUGUCUGUGUGUGUGUGUAUCCCACAUGUCCACAUGAGAAAUAAUGAAAGAAGAUGGAGCCCAAGUAAGAGAGUCCUGAUGCCCCAUAAUGCAGAGAGACAAAGAAGUGAUGAAAUCAAGUACUCUACCUCUGGGCCGCCAGAAUCCAGGCCUGGUUCCAGAGUCCUCUGGUUUUCACCGUGUUGGGGUGGGGCCUCCCCGGGUGCACAGCUUUUCUGCACUGGUUGGCAUCUACUGAACCUUAGGUGAUCACAGCAGUGGUAAAGACAAGCCAGCUUCCGUCUUUCCAUAGUUUGUUCCCCUGUACUUCAGGAGGGAGGGGAGCCCCUCUAUGGAAUGCAAUACACACUAGGCAUCCUAUCACUAUGUAAGAACUCAUCUUGCUCCCUCAUUUCACAUUACAUCUUUGACUGUCUUGCUCAGUUGUUUCACCUUGGCUAGUUUUUACUCUUUGGCGAGUACUCUCACAACUCUCUUGUAGGCAGGAGCCCAUUUUCUUUUUCUGAGUACUCUGGACUCCUUGCAUGGUGCUUCCUGGGCAAGGGGUGCUCAACAAAUUGUGCUGAUAAUUAAGUCAUUCACUCAAAAUAUAUUUAUUAAGCACCUAGUGACCAAGACAGAAAAAAGUUACUAUUGACCUUCAAAUCACCAAAUCUAAUGAUCAUUCCUUACUGCUCAUCUUCCUCCACCAUUGCUACCUUAGAGGCCUCCCGUGCCUGCCUCCAUUUCCCAGACUUACUGCUUGAUUCUCCCUGGCAAGCUUUCCCUUCACCAUUUUUUUUUCAGCACUUGUAAGGAACUGAAUCUGUCCCCAAUAGUACACAGUUUGAGUUAGAGCCAGGACUAGAACUCAGGCCUGCAUAUAAUCAAAGAUCAGAAAACGGCCAAAUCUUGGUGUUUCUAUUCACAGGGAGGAAACCCAGAUGGGCCUACUCACAAUACAUGCUUCCAAAUGAAAGAACGUUUUUCCCCCUAAGGACAUUGUUAGGACACUGUCUAGCUAGAAGAUAUUCAGAGAAAAUUCACUCCUUUACCUGCCCUAGGGAAAUGGGAAAAUUCAAUGUUUGAGCCAUUUACCCAAAAGAGUAAUCCAUGCUGGAAAUUUUGCUGAAAGUAUUCUUUUAAAAGGCCCUUCUGUCUUUAUUAUGACGAUAAGACUGCUGAGUCUGCCCAAGCAUAUGAGGUUGCAAAGAAUAUUUCUUUUUAUUCAGACCUUGUAUUCUCUACAUGAUGAAAGGAUUCUUGGCACAUAGUUGGCAAUUACUAUCUAGGUUUUCUGCAUAACAUAGGUUUUUUAAACUAAGCUUUUAACUCAAUAGACAUCAGGCUCCAAUGAAAAUACAUGUGGCCUAACACGAGCAGAAAUAAACACAAUUCUAAUCAACUUAACUGUUGACAAAAGCAUGUGGUUUCAUUGCUUGCGGCCAAAGUUGUAAGAGUGGACUCUGAUUUCUUGCAGGAACACCCCUCAUUUAUGUGUGCAAAUAGGGUAAUUAAGUGUCCAAUUACCAGAUUUGCAUUGGCAAAUGGGGGCUUUGUGUGGGUAAAAUUCUCCAUGGUUUGGGACCAGCUGAAACUUAGGUCUUUUCUUUUUGGAUCAAUCCCCCAACAAUAACACGGGCAUGAUGAAGUUCCCUUCUUGUCCUGAUCUGAAGCCAUGGCUGAAGACUUCCCUUAUUUUGGUAAUUCAGUGAAGCGGAGAGCCAAAGUUAGGAUCUGGGGCCUUUUCUUCCUUACUGUCUACUCUGAAAAAUAAUUAAGCAUUUCAAGUAUUUUCAGACUGACUUUUUUUUUUUCCUGCUGGCUCUGUAGAAUUGAUUACUAAGGUGAAAUACUUGUAAAUAUUCCUUUUAAAAAUUUAACCAUAUGGAAGCAUUAAGUUGAAAGACACUUCAUAAAACAACUUUAUUCUUUUCU